AAGAAGACUGUACAAAGCAAGAGAGGCAGGGCAAAUAUGCCGGAGAGAGGCAUAGUUAUUCACAGUGGGAGGUGGAGAAACGCAGUGCCUCUCUCUCUCUACUUCCUAGAGAACAGACAGAGUGUGUGAAAAGAGGAAGAGAGGGGGAGGAUCUUUACAGUCAGGCACAUGCUCACACAGAUAUAGUACAUACAGACCUAUACCCACAGACACACCCAUGCAUUCUAAUGGGCAUGCAGAGCUAUUUAGACAUGAGACACAGCAGCAGUUCCUGUUGUGUUUUUAGAUGCAGUAGAAUACAGAGUGUAAAGUGACAGUAGUAGUCAGGCCUCUGAGCAUCUGGUCACUACACACACAGAGAGACAAAUAUACCAGUACACUGGAGUUUUGAAGUUAUGACUGACUUCAGGAUGACUAAGAGUGGCCAUGUGUUCCUCAGCCCUGCGGUUAUUACACGGGGCCAGAGGAGACGACACAGCGAUACCUCGGACCUAUUUGCAAUGAUCGAGAGGAUGCAGGGCAGCAGAAUGGACGAGCAGAGAUGCAUCCUCCCUCCACCCCUCAAAACAGAGGAGGACUAUAUCCCUUACCCCAGCGUUCACGAGGUCCUGGGUCGUAGGAGCCCCUUCCCCCUUAUCCUGCUGCCUCAGUUUGGAGGCUACUGGAUCGAGGGGACCAAUCACAAAUCCAGUGCCACGCCUGAGCAGCAGCCAUGUGCUGCCUCCCACAUCAAGCUGGAGACCAACAGCAUUGCCAAGAUCUACAGGAAACAGUUCAUGGGCAAGGAACACUUUAACUACUACUCCAUGGACACUGCCCUGGGRCACCUGGUCUUCUCCAUGAAGUAUGACGUCAUCGGGGACCAGGAGCACCUCCGCUUGCUGCUAAGGACCAAAUUAAAAACCCACCAUGAUGUGAUUCCUAUCUCUUGCCUGACUGAGUUCCCCAACGUGGUCCAGAUGGCCAAGCUGGUGUUUGAAGAGGUAAACGUGGACAGAUUUUACCCAGUCCUCUACCCGAAGGCCUCAAGGCUCAUUGUCACCUUUGAUGAGCAUGUCAUCAGCAACAACUUCAAGUUUGGAGUCAUUUAUCAGAAGUUUGGCCAGACCACUGAGGAGGAGCUCUUUGGGAACAGCGACGAGAGUCCUGCUUUUGUGGAGUUCUUGGAGUUUCUGGGCGACAAGAUUGAGCUCCAUGACUUUAAAGGGUUCAGAGGGGGACUGGACGUCACCCAUGGCCAGACAGGAACAGAGUCAGUCUACACUAACUUUCACAACAAGGAGAUCAUGUUCCACGUGUCCACCAAACUGCCAUACACAGAGGGAGACACCCAGCAGCUGCAGAGGAAAAGGCACAUAGGCAACGACAUCGUGGCCAUCUUGUUUCAAGAGGAAAACACGCCCUUUGUGCCAGACAUGAUAGCCUCCAACUUCCUGCAUGCCUAUGUGGUGGCGCAAGUGGAGAAUGCCUGCUCAGACAACGUCACGUACAAGGUGUCUGUGACAGCUAGAGACGAUGUGCCUUUCUUUGGACCCGCUCUACCGGACCCGGCCAUCUUUAAAAAGGGACAUGAGUUCCAUGAGUUCCUGUUCACUAAGCUGAUAAAUGCGGAGUACGCCUGUUACAAGGCUGAGAAGUUUGCCAAGCUGGAGGAGCGCACACGGUCGGCCCUGUUGGAGACGCUGUAUGAGGAGCUACACAUCAACAGCCAGUCCAUGAUGGGCCUGGGAGGGGACGAGGACAAACUGGAGAAUGGGGGUGGAGGGGGGGGGGGCUUCUUUGAGUCCUUUAAGCGGGUGAUCCGCAGCAGAAGCCAGUCUAUGGAUGCCAUGGGCCUCAGUAACAAGAAGCCACACACUGUCUCCACUAGUCUCAGCGGCAGCUUUACCGAGACCCCCAAAACCCCAGGGAUAUCUCUGAUCAUUCCUGGGAAGAGCCCCACCAGGAAGAAGUCUGGGCCUUUUGGCACCCGACGGAGCAGCGCCAUCGGGAUCGAGAACAUCCAGGAGGUGCAGGAGAGGAGUCGGGAAGUGUCCCCCAGCACACAGAGGACCCCAGACAGCGGACACAUCUCCCAGGACCCCAAAUCAGAGAACUCAUCCAAUCAGAGCUCACCAGAGAUGCCCACCACAAGGACCAGUUCCACCAUCUGUUGCAGGGCUCCAUACAUCCCUGAGGCCCAGGACCUGUCCCGCUCCUCAUCCAAUGCUAGCAGCUUUGCCAGUGUGGUGGAGGAACACGAUAAUGUGUGCAUCGAUGAAUACAACACUGCACUGGAGAGUCUAUGCUCUUCUGGAACACCACACAAGAAGGACUCAUUUGGGUACGUCUCCUGGGUAGAGGAUAGUAUGAGCAAUACUAGUGCCACCAGCCAGGUCAGCUCUCCAGCACCUGCACUGCCCCAUCAGACUGAGGGGGGCAAAAGGGUAGAGCUCAAAAGGGCAGAGAGCCGAGACAAGACAGAGAGGUCACAGGAUAAGUCAUCAUCGAAUUGUUAGCCUCUCCCUAUUGAUCACUACAUGGGUGUCCAUUAGCAGGUACCUGGAGUUUUCCAACAUUCCCAUAAGAGGCACCCCCUGCAGGAGAUGAAGCAAGCACAUGUGUUUUCCACCACAGACGCAGAGGAGGAUCAGAGCUAGUCGCUGGGACAGGCAGACCUGGUGUAGGCUAGUCUAGUCUGUACAGCCAGGUCCAUGGACAUGCACUUACAGCCCUCCCUCAUUCCAACUCCAUGUGGCUGACUCCCAGCAUGCCUAGAGGGGUGAAGGAGAGGAGUGUCCCGCACCCCACCCAAAAGGAAUGCCACUCACACAGCAUCGCCUCUGGCUGUCUGUUGGCUCGCUUAGCCUGCAUCUGUUCAUGUGGUUUCUCAUUGUAUACUCUCCCUUGUCUUCUCAAUGGCAUUGUUUGUUUUGUUUUGAAGGUCGAAGCAGGGGUGGAUCUUAUGCAUUCAAUACAUUGUUUUUGCAGGAGAUCCGUUGACCAUGUGUGAGGUACAACAGGACUUUCUGUUAGGCUAAGGAGGAAUGCAUGAGGAUAUCAGGGUGUUGUCCUGUUGCCAUUGUGGGAAGAAAUUACAUUAUUGCACCCAUCAGCCUCACAUUCCACCAUGAUACUGUACAUGUGUUACUCUUGGUGUCCUAGAUCCUUUGUUGUCACAUCAAUCCUUGUUUAAAUUAUGAGUGUAAUGGUGGGUGUUGACUAGAAACUUUUAGUAAAUGUUACAUGUUUUUGAUAGAAGGUACUUUUGUCAUCAUGCUGCUGCUGGUUUCAAUUUCACUACUUCCCCUGACAAACUGUACAAUUAGUUCACAGUUGAUGUUGAUAAAUGGAAAAUAUUUUACUGACUCAACAAUUAUGCUCAUCCUAUUUCAUGCCAUUUAAGCUGAGCAAAAAACAUGAAGUAUUGAAUUACUGAUAAGGUCCAGUGUCCAAACGACUAAUCAGUCUUCAUCCCUGUUCCAUACUGUAGAUAAUACCGCAUAGACAUUCCACCAAGGUGACCUAACCAAAGCAGACAGCCUCCAAAGUCAAGCUACUGUCCAGUGACUAGUCUUCAGUUUUUUCUUUAAAUCAAGCUAGUGGUUUGGAAUAAAGUAUGUGUUUGGAUGUGUAUACAACUGUGCAUGGUGUAAAUCUGCUUGCAACCCCCAGUCAACUGGUACCAUGCUCGAAAUAGGUGUUGUCCCAGGACUGUUCCUGUGAUGUUACUCCAAACCAGUCAACUUCUCCAAAUUCAGUGCACAAUGCAGAUAUACAAUCACUAUCYGUUUCAUAUAGGUUUUGAUUGAGAAAGAUGGGGCUACAUUGUGUAGAUGUGGAAACCGGCACUACAUUUUCUGAUUGCUGAUAGUUUGAAAAUCUGACUUAUUUCUAAAAAGAAUUACACUGUGACAAAUCUUGAAGUUGCCUUUUUGAUGAUUGUGUUAAGCUGCUUUGUAGGAGGGUAACCCCCUUCAUAUAAGGAAUCUAUCCAACGGUGGACUUUGCCAACUGGAAUCUAUCACCAACUGGUUUGAAUGUAAAACUAAACAGAUGUCUAUUAAUUUGUACAUAUCUGCUCUCA